UACGUAGGGGGCGAGCGUUGUCCGGAUUUAUUGGGCGUAAAGAGCUCGUAGGCGGUUGGGUAAGUCGGGUGUGAAAACUCAGGGCUCAACUCUGAGACGCCACUCGAUACUGCCCUGACUCGAGUCCGGUAGGGGAGCGUGGAAUUCCCGGUGUAGCGGUGAAAUGCGCAGAUAUCGGGAGGAACACCAGUGGCGAAGGCGGCGCUCUGGGCCGGGAACUGACGCUGAGGAGCGAAAGCGUGGGUAGCAAACAGG
rnacentral:rRNA from 1 species